UACGUAGGUGGCAAGCGUUGUCCGGAUUUACUGGGCGUAAAGAGCGCGCAGGCGGUCGUUCAAGUCGCGUGUGAAAGCCCCCGGCUCAACUGGGGAGGGUCACGCGAUACUGAUCGACUCGAAGGCAGGAGAGGGUAGUGGAAUUCCCGGUGUAGUGGUGAAAUGCGUAGAUAUCGGGAGGAACACCAGUGGCGAAGGCGGCGAUCUGGGAAGAUACUGACGCUGAGGUGCGAAAGCGUGGGGAGCAAACAGG
rnacentral:rRNA from 1 species